UAUAGAGAAAGUAUAUCAAGAGGAUACUUUGCCUCUUCAAUAGCAGGUACAUCUAAACCCAAAAAAUGUUAUACACUGACAUGAACGCAUUGAUUGAUUUAUUCCUGUAAGUAAAUAAUACACACUAUACACUAGGCAGGGUUUGAAGUAGAAAGGAAAAAAACCAAUACCCCUACCCUGGAAUUUGCAUUCUAGUGAAGAGGAGGUAACAAGGGUACUCCACUGUUAGAAGUGGAUGGGGUAAAACAGUAAAAACAUCACAGCACAAAAAUAAGGCUAUAAAUGGGAAGAGCCUUACUGAGGUGGCAAUAUUUGAAGGUGUGGGAGAAGCCCUUCUCAUAGCUAAGAGCACUGCAGACAGGAUGCAGCAGGUCCAAAGGCUGCACAUUUGAGAAAAGGACAAUGUGACUCAAGAAACAGAUGGGGGUGGAAUAUGGCAAAGCCUCGUAAGUCCACGUGAGGUGGGGAGCUACUGAUGCUGUUCAGGAGUAACAUUGAACUGGUUUUUAGAAGUUCCUUCUGGUGUGACUGCUGGCAGCGGCAGCCUAGCUUUCUGAUAAAGGAGUGUAGUUAGUGGCAGGUGACUGUACCACUCUGGAUGGAGGCUAAAGAAGUUAAGCUGGAGCUAUGGUCAGUGCAGUGGUGGCAGCUGGACUGGCCAUUUCUGCUGCAGGUUUUGCAAUCCAGGGAGCACAUGUAGCAAGUAAAACAGGUUUUUCAAAGUCUACAAAAAUCUGUCUUCAGUGGUGGCUGUUAGAGAGGUGGGUUUGAACUCAAAAUGACAAAAUAGGAAGCAGCCUGUUAGGCCUUACUGCCAAUAAGGGAAAAAUAAGAGAUGCUCAGUAACAAAUGUGAUACUAAAUCGCCAAAGAAGGAUCCCCUUAUAUAGCAACCAAAAUCACUGAAGCUAAAGAUUUACUAGGUCAAGCUCAAAAAUUAUACAUAUGAAUUUUAGGUUCCUACUUUUUAUGUAUAUGAGUAUCAACUUUCUAUAAAAUGCCUCAGAGCUACAACUUUUCAAGCUCCCUCUGGCUUGUGUGUUGAAAACAGUAUAGUGGGUUAAGGAUGGGGGUAGGGAAACCAAUUGGAAGGUUCAUGCAUUACGAUGAUGGCUUGGUCUAGGGAGACAGAAGAGGGGUAGUUAGGGACACUGGAUUCUGCCAUGUCUCAAAGAACUAAAAGGAUUUUCUGGUAGAAUGGAUGUCAAAGAGUUGAGCAUCUUUAAAAACUGAGUUGCCCAAAAAUGAAGAUUGGAUAGAGAAGAGAGAUCCAGAUGGGAAAAUCAGUUCCUUUUUGGACACACUGAGACAUCUAUUAGACACAACUAGAGUGUACAAAAAAAGUCCCCUCAAAAACCUUUCAAAAUCUGCAUGCUCAUAGUGGUGGGUGCCUGUAAUCCCAGCUAAUCAGGAGGCUGAGGCAGAGAAUUGCUUGAAUCCAGGAGGCAGAAGUUGCAGUGAGCCGAGAUCGCACCACGGCAAUCUAGCCUGGGUGACAGAGUGAGACUCCAUCUCAAAAAAAAAAAAGAAAAAAAAAUCUGCAUGCUUUCCAAUGAACCAUUCAGUUACUGAUUUUUUCACCUAAGCAGAUUUCACUUGUUCAUAUUAUUUUGCCUUUUUAAAGUGAGGAAAUGGAGAUUCAUUUAAGUAUGUUUAAAAUAAGCAUUGUAUGUGUAACUAUUCAGUGAAGACUCCUAGCAACCCAUUAGGAGCAGUGUAUUGUUAGAAAUCCUGUCCCUGGAACCAGACUGCAUGGGCUUGCUGCUAAUUCCUAGAAUGAUCUUUGGCAACUCACUUUAGCACUCUCAAGCAUAUUUUCUCAUCUAUAAAGCAUAGUGCAGCACUGUUCACAGUAGCAGACUUGGAACCAACCUACACACCCAUCAAUGAUAAAGAAAAUGUGACACACAUAUACCAUGGAAUACUAGGCAGCCAUAAAAAAGAAUGAGUUCAUGUCCUUUGCAGGGACAUGAAUGAAGCUGGAAACCAUCCUUCUCAGCAAACUAACACAGGAACAGAAAACCAAACACUGCAUGUUCUUAUAAGUGGGAGCUGAACAAUGAGAGCGCAUGGACACAGGGCGGGGAACAUUACAGAGGCCUGUCAGGGGGUUGGGGGGCUAGGGGAGGGGGAUAGCAUUAGGAGAAAUACCUAAUGCAGAUGAUGGGUUGAUGGGUGCAGCAAACCACCAUGGCACGUGUAUACCUGUGUAACAAGCCUGCAUUCUGCACAUCAGAACUUAAAAAAGCAGAGUGGUAUGCAAUGGGCCACCCCACAAAAAGCACUGUGCUAGCUCAUACUAAACACCGUAUCAAUGAUGGGUGUUUUGUCUUUUUCCUUUAGCCUUCUAUGAUGAUGCUUUUUGGCUACAAGUUAAUCCAGUCAAAUUAGCUUACAAGAGAAUGUAACUGUUAAAGCUCAGGAUUGAAAAUGACUUGAAGGACUAAUGGAUCUGAGAAUUCAAAUGUAAAGAUCUUGGUUUUCUUUUUCUUGAGACAGAGUCUCUAUUGUCCAGGAUGGAGAACAGUAGCACAAUCUCGGCUCACCACAACCUCCACCAUUCAAGCGAUUCUCAUGCCUCAACCUUCAGAGUAGCUGGGAUUACAGGCAUCUGCCUCCUUUUCCCACUGAAAAUACAAGAGAUGAACCGGGCCUGUGAUUACAGGCCCAGUUACUCAUUUUUGUAUUUUCAGUGGAGACAGGAUUACACCAUGUUGGCCAGGCUGGUAUGGAACUGCUGACCUCAAGUGAUCCACCUACCUCGGCCUCCUGAAGUGCUAGGAUUUCACGAGAGCCACUGUGCCCAGCCAAAUGUGAAGAUUUUGUGACCCGAAUAUUUUUCACGUGCUAUCAAGUAACUUCCUCUGGUGGUGUGGUGACAGGGCAUCUUGGGAGGAGACAUCACUUUUCCAAACUCAGAACAUAAUCCCAGGUCUCGAAUAAACUUGUCUAUUCUUAUGUCAAAUCGUGAGUGGGAGAGGGUGGCAAUAAUCUCAGCAGCAGCCCUAUCUGGAGCACCUAACACUGAUACUUGAAGGAGGAAGAGCACUGCUGGGCAGAGACAUUCUUCAUUCCUCUGCAUCCUUUGGUAGCAAACUGAUUCAAAGUAUUCUGUCCAAUUCAUACAAGAUUAACUGGACACAGAAACUUACAGUACCUAAAAAUAUUACAGUGAAACACAAAACAUUGUGAGAAAUUAUAAAUUUCAAAUAACAAAUCCCAACUAUGCCAUGACUAAUAAAACCAAGUGUUCACUUAUCUUGAUCUGUGUUCUAUUUGAGAGCUUUUAUACCUAACUGUCCUUAGUAAAAUUUGGCUACUGAUCUGUAAUUGCACAACACUGUCUUAUUAGAAAAGUAUAUCUUGGCCGGGCGCGAUAGCUCAAGCCUGUAAUCCCAGCACAGGGAUCCACAGGCCGAGGCAGGUGGAUCACGAGAUCAAGAGAUCGAGACCAUCCUGGUCAAAAUGAUGAAACCCCAUCUCUACUAAAGAUACAAAAAAUUAGCUGGUCAUGGUGGCGUGUGCCUGUAAUCCCAGCUACUCAGGAGGCUGAGGCAGAAUUGCCUCAACCCAGGAGGCAGAGGUUGCGGUGAGCUGAGAUCACGUCAUUGCACUCCAGCCUGGGUAACAAAAAAAAGCGAAACUCCAUCUCACACACACAAAAAAAGAGUAUAUCUUCUUGCCAAGAUCUCUCAAGUUCCUGUUUUUGAGGGGACACUGCUCAAACAUGCUUGCCAUAUCCGUAUUUGUGGCUAAGCCUCAGAAGAUAUACAGGGCAAUUCUCAUUCCCAUUUUAAAGACAGUUAUCAGGAUGCUUUCAGUUGAUGUCUUUAACACUUGAGAAUUGGAAAAGAAGAAUAGAAAACUUCAAUCCUAUGUGGGAGGGAAAAACGCUUAAGACACUGGCAUAACUUUUAUCAUCACCCAUUAAAAUGUUAGGUAUGUCUCAGUAUAUCCUUGUAACAGUAUCCAGCAUUACCAAGACACUAUCUUUAGGGUCUGUAAGGAAGGUUCUAGCUUACAUUCUUUAAGCUACCGAAUUUAACCUUGUGAUUUAUUGAGGGAAGAAAUUGUAAAUCCAUUUUACCAAUAAAAAAAAGGCGGGGGUAUUAGGUUAAAACAAAUUCUUAACCUGGAUAGAACUCAGGUCAGAGAAUUUUGAUGGGAAGAAAAUUUCGUCUUCAUUUUCACUAACAUUAAACAUUCUCUUUGGUAUUCCAGGCAACAAACCACUGAUAUUUCACAGUACUUGUCUUAAAGUACAAUUUAAACCGCAUUUUCACUUAUGCAUCACAACUUCAAAAUGUUACAAAUCAGACCCACCAUUAGACCUAAUUUGGUGUUUCAAGUACAUUAAGUCACAAACUUAGUAUUUUGGAAAUAUUUUCAUGUAAUGUUUAAGUAAUACCACCUGUAUCUCAUACAUGGAAAAAUCAACAUUCUAAGGGGCCUGCUGGCAUACCAAUCUGCCAGACAGCAUGACAUUCAAAAGAAACCAAGUAACCUGCCCAAGCUCACAAAGCUGCUUGUACAUUCUGUAAAUUUCUUCCCGAUAAGCAAAAUCUGACACAGGAAUCAAAGUAACAACAACCUACGAAAUACAGCAGACCAUUGACUUCAAAUAGGCAACCCAUCAGAAUUCUUUUGAAUUUAUUUUAAAGGAUGUAAGUUUACUCAGGAUUUAUUGAAUAAUAUAGUAAUACAAUUAAAAAUUACCUGGAGCCUCCAGAUGUUUAAACAUUUUACACAAUUCCUUUGAGUAUUACAAGUCCCUUAAGUAUUAAUUAGUAGCUAUAUACAUAUAUGGAUGUAGUGAAUACAACUUAGCCAUUUCAUCUUUUAAGGUAUUUUAAAGCUGUCAGCAUCCUUCUGUAUGUAUAUAAUUUACUCAAUUACUAUUUCUAUACCAAUAAAUUCCUAUUUCCUAGCUAACUUGCAGAACUGUGCUCACAUAACCCCUACCACAUCAACGUACACUUUCAAUGCAUCCUUGCUAUUACCUGGUGUUAGGGUCUUUGAAAAUGUAUUAAGUUUAAAACAGCUUAUUUUAUCUAUUACCACCUUACAUCCCCCUAAACCUUGGCACUGUAGUAUAUUCAAUCCAAAAUUAAAAACCAACCCAAUGUGUAACAAUCCAAUUUUUUGCAAAGGAAAACAGUGUUUAGAACAUUUACUACCAGUCUGGGAUGUGCACAUGAAGACUCAAAUUUUAGCUCAUUUCCUGAAUAUUUUGGAGUUUAUAACAAUGUGCUUUUAUUGUGAGAAAACAAGAGUAAAUAUACUUCUUUUGUUGGAAAUAAGUCCAUGCUCAUCCUUUAUUAUUCCACGACCUAAGUAUUAAACUGAAAUUGUAAGACACAUUAAGAUUACUUAACUGCACCAAGUUAACUGCACCAAGUAUGACACAAGUGUUUCAAAUUAAACCUAACAGCUAGCCAAGAAUCCUUAACUGGCUUUCACUUACAAAGUAUUUCACUUGGAAAAACUAUAUUGGGAAAAUGUGCUUAACAGCUAUUAAGGCUAGAAAUCCAAAUGUAAGUUGUCAUUUUAGAAGACUUCAUCAAAGCCUUACCCUCCCCACCAAAAAAUUAAUCCAACAAAAUAAGAGGGCCAUUGUACACAACAUAUUUUCUUGUGUGUUAAAUGGCAGCGUAGUUUAAGACUACUUAAGGUCAUGAAAGGUUUUCUCCAACUCUCACCAUACAAUGCUGAACGACUCCACUGCCUCUCAAGAUUUAACAAACUAGGUACUUUCGGCCAGGUGCAGUGGCUCACACUUGUAAUCCCAGCACUUUGGGAAACCCAGGGGGGUGGACCACGAGGUCAAGAGAUCAAGGCCAUCUUGGCCAACAUGGUGAAACCCCGUCUCUACUGAAAACACAAAAUCAGCUGGGCAUGGUGGUGUGACUGUAGUCCCAGCUAUUCAGAAGGCUGAGGCAAGAGAAUUGCUUGAACCCAAUUGAGCAGUGAGCUGAGACGCCACUGCACUCCAGCCUGGCAACAGAGUGAAACUCCCUCUAAACAAAACUAGAUAGUUCCAACAUCUGCAAUACCUCCCCCCUUUCCCUCCUAGCAACCACCUUUACUUUUCUCCUAGUUUGUUUCUAUUUACUAAUUCACUUGCUUAUCUUAUUUUGGUUGUUUUCCCUCUCAAAGGUUCAGAUUCCUCAUAUGUAUCACCCAAAUACCUCAUUGUCUUUCAAGACCUAAGUUCUUAUAGGCAACAAGUGCUGGUAACGUUAAAAAAUAUUUUUUCUUCCAUGCCUAUUUCCCAUGGCUUGUUUUCCACAUAAUAGAAUCCACAUCUUUUAAAGUAACUCAUAAAGGCUCACUCCAAGUUUCCUGUUGUUUUAUUUACUGGUAAAAGAACUCAAAAUAUUCACCUAUAAUGUUUAAGUCACAUGAACACUGUGAAGUGACAAAACAACACACACAUUUCUAAAAAUAUUUUAAUGAAAAAGUUAUCUUUCUGUAAACAUUUCAUCAGACUACAAAUGAAACAUCUGAAUCCAUUACAGAACACUUCUGAAUUCUUAAAAAUUAGAAAACACACUUAGGUUUUAUCAUUUUGAAUAUUUAGAUAGGCUAACAAUCCUUACAUUACCCUUGCACACUGGCAUGCUUAUUCACUAUUUUGUGACAUCAAUUACUGGAACUCCAAGAGAUACUAUCAUUAAUUAGGUUUCAAAUUGUUGACUAUUAUAUACUGGAAUUCUUAAAAUCAAGCCUAUUUCAAUUAUUACUUAACAAAUACACUUUAUUACCACAUAUUCUCCUGUAGAACAUGAAUAUAAAAUCAGCUUUUUAGAAGUGUAAUAUUAGAAGCAUUAACCCAUAAUUUGGUUUAACAAAAUCAGUUAAUUCUGCCUCAACCACUUAUAUAACAAUUUUUUUAAACUGCUGCUACAACUAAUACUGUAUUUUUCAGAAACGACAAUGGAACUAUGUUUAAAUAAAACAAUUUUAUUUUCAUAAAGAAACGAACUAGAAAGAACAAUGCACUUAAAAAAUAAAAACGUUUCCUUUCUUAGGAAAUUUGCUUCACUAAAACCAUAUUGUAAAGGAAAUUCAAAGGCUGUUACCUUACUCAACAUGUGUAGAAACUGGGUUCUCAUUUAGAUAGAGCCAACAGCCAUUUUCUAAGUACACUGGCAAACUGACUGUUCUUCAUGUAGGAAACCGGUAAUUUGGAAACUAGUUUGCAUUUUCAGUAUUUGUCUCCAUUAGGGUAAACUAACCACCUUAAUUGUUAAGUCCUUUUGGGGCAGCAAAAACAGCCCUUAUUAACCAUGAACAACCAGUUUGAACAGUAAUUCAGUAUUCUUUGGAAAAAAUGUCUUUUUAUAAAGGAGCACUAAUUAGGCCCCCACUGCUUCUGGUUAACAGAUGAACCUAAACAAAAAAAGGAACCAAAAUGUAACCUGUUGGUCCAAUGAAUUCCCUGAAUUUAUAUACAAGAGAACUUAUGAGGCCACUUGAAGACCAACUUUUAUCUGUGACAUCUGUUAACUUUUCUGAGAUGAGGUCUGUCAACCAGGCUGGAACACAGUGGGGCAGUCAGCUCACUGUAGCCUUGACCUCCUAGGAUCAAGGGAUCCUCACAUCUCAGCCACCCAAGCUGCCAGGACUACAGAUGUGCAACACUAAGCCUGGCUAAUUUGUCUAUAGGCAAGUCUCAAACUCCUGGACUUCGGAUCCAUCUGCCUUGACCUCCCAAAGUGCUGAGAUUACAGGCAUGACCUGCUGUGCUGAGCCCUGGUAACUUUUACUGUUCCUCUGAAGGUGUUUUUCCCAAUAUGAGGAUUGCCAGCCUACUGAGUCUGUGGUGUGCAGUGCUUAUUAAAAAUUGGUUUUCACCAAAGCUGAAGCUACCUUCUACCAAAAAUUGAGUUUACCCUGAAGACAAUAAUAAAAAAUGAUAUACACAAGGGGUCACAACUGACUCCAGAUGAAUAGUUAUGACUAUUGCAGGGCAAUUUUUAAAACUAAAAUUUCAAUGUGUUGAUCAUGGUACCAAGGUAGUUUUAAGCUGAAGAAUUUUACCAAUGUGCCUACUAGAAAGGGACAAAGUUGUGAAAUAUGUACUUGUAGGGAAACAAAUGGUGUCAUCAGGUUUUACUGUCAGCUACAAACCUUACCCAGCCAGAAACCUUCGUAUUUUAGAUGGUAGGAAAGACAUUCCGCAUUUAGGCAAGUAGGGUUCUCAUUCAACCUGCAAAUCAAAAAGAUUACUCUUACCUUGCUUUACAAAAAAUUAUUCUUUAAUUAGUGAAAAAAUUCAAAUUCAAGCCUUACCUAAUGCUUAUUGCCCUUCCUUGCAGGUCUAAAUGCUAGACCUAGUGACUGUGGCAACUAUCUCUCAUUGAUGUUCCAAAAGGCGAAGAGCUCCUUCCUGCUAGACUUUCUUCGAUAUUUCAGUUGUAAUAAGCAGAUUAACUAGCUUUUGAAAAGUUGCUCACUAUCAUCAUAGUAUCUUAUGCCUUCACUUCUCUGUAGUUGAAGCUCUUGCUGCUGCCUUGUCAUUCUUUAUUUAUGCUGACUUGUCCAUACACAAAAGGCUGCUGAAGUCCUGUCUUAGUGAGUUUCCUUUGAUCCACACUGUGCUUAAAAAGCACAUCUUAGGUCCUUUAAAGCUGGUUAAAUCGCUCUCCUCAUGGCUUACUUUUCCACACUGUUCACAAGAGCUAAGCUAAUACAACUUAUAAACAGGUCACAUACACAGAUUUCACCUGCUUAUAGGUUGUAAACAUCAACUUACUGUAAAUGUUUUCACUAUAAUACUAGUUCCAGAACAUAGAAAGUUGGUUAACAGUACAAUUAACCUUAUAUGCCAUUAAAGGAUACUGUCAAGGUUGUGCCAAACAAUUUCACAAACAUAAAACAGGAAAUGUCAAUCUCCCCCAUUCCUUUAAACUUUAUUUAUGAAUAAAAGAACUUGAGACAAUUUAGCUCAAUUUUAAUGUUUCCCAAGCAUUAUUUUGACCAGGUACCCAGGUUUAAGUUAUGAACAUUGACAGUGUCCAUUAUAUAACCACACUUGAAGUUAUUAAGGACUUAACCAUUUUCUAAUAUUAGCCUAUUUUCUACACUGCUUUUUCACAUAUAUGCCCAUUAACAAAUGGAAUGUCUGUUACAUUUAUUGUUUGUGAGUGUUUCUGGAAAACUGCAGUAUGUGUGAAGACCAAUUUCCAUGGUGGCAUUGCAUGCAUCCAAAUAUUAAUGCACAGAGGCACAGAAUUAGAGCAACAAGAGAGCAUAUUCAAACACUAGCACGCCCCAUUCCCCUUUUUAUUGCUUGUUUUGCUUAGUACUUCUUAAAACAAAGAAUCUUGAAUUCAACAUUCAACUACCAAGAAAGAAUAACAGCAGGGCACAUACUCAGGGAUCGAAUGAAACUGUAAGUACUAGCUGGCGCAAAACAGUAGACAUUGAUUUAUAUUAAUAUAUAUAUAUAUGACCUUAUUAUCUAAAACUCUUCUCAACCAGGGCCUUCCAAACGAAUUGGUAACAAUAUGAUUUAUGUUGAAAUAUACACAAGAAGUUACAGUGUGUUCUUUGGAAAUUUAAGAACUCAGACUAUCCAAAUUUGAAUUCAGGUCUGUAGGAAGUGAGAAGCUUGUACUAAGCAACUGUGCUGCUACAUUUCUGCUGCAGUUAGGUUAUUUUGGAUAGUUAUACCUAAACUAUCCUUGGUUUCAUCCAGCAAAAUGUAUAGGGUACAAACAGGAAAGCAUGCCAGCCAGUUAGGGGUUUAAUAAUGCAUGAUUUUUAUUCUCUUACUCUGAAAACUUACAUAUAUAUAUAUAUAUAUAAAUUUAAACCAAGGAAAAUAUCUGAUGAUUUAUGGGCCUCUUGUGCUUUAAAAAAGAAAAAAAAAAGGUACCCACUAAUUUGCUCGGAUAUAGCAGGC